rnacentral:lncRNA from 1 species
UCCACACCGUCACUCUCUCUCUUCUCUCCCCCUCUCUCUCACCUACCGCCACCUCCCACACCACCACCAUCCCGACGAUCUGCUCCUCCGUCUUCUCCGGCGACAUCACCGUCGCUCUGGCGACAUCACCGUCGCUCCGGCGACAUCACCGUCUCCUCCGUCUUCUCCGGCAACAUCACCGUCUCCUCCGUCUUCUCCUGCGACAUAACCGUCUCCUCCGUUCCAGUGGGGGUGGUGGGUUUAAUGGUGUUUGUUGCUGGUUUGGGUUGUUGCAGGUUGGGGUUAGGGUUCUAGUGGGGGUGGUGAUGGUCGAGACGGUGGUGGGUGAAGGAGAGAGAGAGAGAAUCGAUGGUGGUGGGUGGGUUGUGUGGGUGGUUUUGGUGGAAGCAAAGAAGUUAUUUCCUCACACUUGAUGUAUACUCUUCACAUAAAGGUUGUCUUCCGGUCACUUUGACAUAAUAAUUUUGCCCUAUAAAUACUUCCAAAACUGCAUUCUCUAUGUACACUGACGACUCAAACUUUAAAAUCAGAGGUAUUUUUAAACGAUUGAUGGUGGGCUUGUAAAUAUUUGGAGGAGAAGUGAUGAGAGAGGGAAGAGAGAGAGAAGGGAGAGUUUUUUAUUUCUUUUUUUAUUUUUCAAUGUUUUACAUAUAGUCCCUAAGUAAUAAUUUAUUACAAAAUAACCCAUAGGAGGCAAAAUGACAAAACUGCCCUCAUGUGCAAGGCACAUGACCAACUUUAACAAAAAAAUCUAACUGAGUUUGACUUAAAGGACAUAACGUGCAGGAUUUUGAAACGUUAAGGACAAAACUCG